rnacentral:rRNA from 1 species
CACGUAGGGGGCGAGCGUUGUCCGGAUUUAUUGGGCGUAAAGAGCUCGUAGGCGGCUCGGUAAGUCAGGUGUGAAAACUCUAGGCUCAACCUAGAGACGCCACCUGAUACUGCCGUGGCUAGAGUCCGGUAGGGGAGCAUGGAAUUCCUGGUGUAGCGGUGAAAUGCGCAGAUAUCAGGAGGAACACCAAUGGCGAAGGCAGCUCGCUGGGACGUGACUGACGCUGAGACGCGAAAGCGUGGGGAGCAAACAGG